UACGGAGGGUGCGAGCGUUAAUCGGAAUUACUGGGCGUAAAGGGUGCGUAGGUGGUUGUAUAAGUUAUCUGUGAAAUCCCUGGGCUUAACCUAGGCAGGUCAGAUAAGACUGUAUGACUCGAGUAUAGGAGAGGGUAGUGGAAUUUCCGGUGUAGCGGUGAAAUGCGUAGAGAUCGGAAGGAACACCAGUGGCGAAGGCGGCUACCUGGCCUAAUACUGACACUGAGGCACGAAAGCGUGGGGAGCAAACAGG
rnacentral:ncRNA from 2 species